rnacentral:rRNA from 1 species
CCCUUAGAUGUUCUGGGCUGCACGCGCGCUGCACGGAUGCACUCAACGAGUUUACGACCUUGCCCGAUAGGGUUGGGUAAUCUUUUUAAAAUGCAUCGUGAUGGGGAUAGAUUAUUGCAAUUAUUAAUCUUCAACGAGGAAUUCCUAGUAAGCGCGAGUCAUCAGCUCGUGCUGAUUACGUCCCUGCCCUUUGUACACACCGCCCGUCGCUCCUACCGAUUGAGUGCUCAGGUGAAUAAUUCGGACUGCAGCAAUGUUUGGAUCCCGAACGUUGCAGCGGAAAGUUUAGUGAACCUUAUCACUUAGAGGAAGGAGAAGUCGUAACA